rnacentral:rRNA from 1 species
AACGAACGCUGGCGGCAUGCCUAACACAUGCAAGUCGAACGAGACCUUCGGGUCUAGUGGCGCACGGGUGCGUAACGCGUGGGAACCUGCCCUUAGGUUCGGAAUAACACCCCGAAAGGGGUGCUAAUACCGGGUAAUGUAUUCGGACACAAGAUUUAUCGCCUUUGGAUGGGCCCGCGUUGGAUUAGCUAGUUGGUAGGGUAAAAGCCUACCAAGGCGACGAUCCAUAGCUGGUCUGAGAGGAUGAUCAGCCACACUGGGACUGAGACACGGCCCAGACUCCUACGGGAAGCAGCAGUGGGGAAUAUUGGACAAUGGGCGAAGGCCUGAUCCAGCAAUGCCGCGUGAGUGAUGAAGGCCUUAGGGUUGUAAAGCUCUUUUACCCGGGAUGAUAAUGACAGUACCGGGAGAAUAAGCUCCGGCUAACUCCGUG